CUUGGUGGCCAAGGACUACGAAACAGAUCGAAGUUGAUUUAAAUUUCACAAAUUUCUUGGGAAAACACUUCCAGAUAUCUUUGCUCCUCCCAAGAAUCAUAAAUCGUUAUUACUCCCUGAAAAUAGACCCGUUUGUGUUACAAAACUCCCAGAGGACUGCCACUAUGAGCUAGAGGUGAAGAUUUGUGGCGGUAAAUUGAAUUUCCAAAUGUCCUAACUGGUUGUUGAAGCAAGAACUAUCAGAGAUUGUCAAGUCUAUCAGUAGGUAGUUGCGUGAGAAAUCCAUCAAAACAAAGGUUGGUGCCUUUUCUGUUUUGAAAGAACUAGUUGUCUUGCCCUACUGUCUUGCAGACCACAUUGGGUCACUCAUUCCUGGAAUUGAAAAAGCAUUAAAUGACAAAUUAUCUACCUCAAAUUUGAAGAACAAAGCCCUGAUAUUUACAAGAUUGGUAUUAUCUUCGCAUUCUCCUUAUGUAUUCCACCCUUAUAUCAAGAGAGGGUGUGAAAGGCACAAGUUACUUGGCUUCAAUAUUUGAUGAUCCAAUACUUGAAAGCAUUUGCAAUUAUAAGUGCAGUCCGCAGAUCCAUGUCCUUUGCAACUUCUUUGAUUGGUUGAGAAAUUCUUCUUUUGAAGUCCGCAGAUCCAUGUCCUUUGCAACUUCUUUGAUUGGUUGAGAAAUUCUUCUUUUGAAGGACUAUGAAAUUGGUGAUGGUACUACUGGAGUUGUUGUGUUGGCUGGAUCUCUUACAGGUUGGAGGUUUUGUAUGAGAAACUACUCAUGAUGAUGACUGGAAAUCUACAUAAUGCCAAGACUUUUGUAGUGGCUUUAACCAUAUGCUUGACCAUAAAUAUAUCGUUGUUUUCUGGAACGCAGCACAUUGAACAAUUCUUCAGUCAAAUUGUUACAACACAUGGCUCUGCAAAGAAUUUGCCUUGAUCAUGCACUUCAAGACUCAGUCCAAGGCUGGCAUCCUUGGAAUAAGGGGAAGACUGUUCUUCUCAUAAGGUGGUUAGUGCCCAGCAAGCUGAAGACCUAAAAUUGUAGGAAAAGAGGAAGCAGGAACGAGAGAAAAAUUUGCCUAGAAAGAAGCACAGAAAGUUGGAACUUGAGCGAUGUUGGAGGAUGACAAGCAAGAUGACAAACCAAAAGGUGAGGGGACAGAUAAGAAUGAAAAGGAUUGACACAUGCUGAUCUUGCUUACCGACGUGCAAAACACGGAAAAGCCACCAAAAAGAGGGCAACUAGACUCUGGCAAGAUUUUGAAGAAGCCUCAAAAGAAAUCUAAUAUAUCUAAUCCUUCGCGAAAGACUUCCUCUUCAAGGACAGAAGAAAUGCAAAGAGAGGUUCUGGAACAGGAAAGAAGGCGAAGAAGUCAUUCAAAAGCAAGUCAAGGCAUCCUUGGAAUAAGGGGAAGACUGUUCUUCUCAUAAGGUGGUUAGUGCCCAGCAAGCUGAAGACCUAAAAUUGAAGGAAAAGAGGAAGCGGGAACGAGAGAAAAAUUUGCCUAGAAAGAAGCACAGAAAGUUGAAACUAGAGAGAUGUUGGAGGAUGACGAGCAAGAUGACAAACCAAAAGGUGAGGGGACAAAUAAGAAUGAAAAGGAUUGACACAUGCUGAUCUUGCUUACCUACCGACGUGCAAAAGCAGGAAAAGCCACCACAAAGAGGGCACUAGACUCUGGCAAGAUUUUGAAGAAGCCUCAAAAGAUAUCUAAUAUAUCUAAUCCUUCGCGAAAGACUUCCUCUUCAAGGACAGAAGAAAUGCAAAGAGAGGUUCUGGAACAGGAAAGAAGGCGAAGAAGUCAUUCAAAAGCAAGUCAAGUUAUGUGAUUGAUGUGGAGUUGUGGACUGAGGCUUUCUAGGGGGCAACUUAACAAAUAAUGAUAUAAUCCUUUUCAUUUUCUUGAUGCUAAAAAAAAAGUCUAAACAUUUUUACUUCAAUCCUCCAUAACUCUCCCAGGUAUUUAUGUGCGUAUAGUAACUAUGAUGUUCAUAGUUGUAGUUUCCCUGUGUUUUGGGUUUUAUUUUUGUCUGUCCCCAUAUACUACCAAGGUGAUGCUGCUCUAUUUUCCAACUUUACCCUUUUAUCAAAAUUCAAAUACUUUCAUAUACCCCUCCAAUCAAAACAACAUCUCGCGUAACAUAGUAAACUCUUGGCAGCGGUUUCCUUUACUUUAUUUCUCCAAUUCUCCAACUGCUAUUUUCUUCUUAUUUUCUUGAAAGUUCGGUUGCUGAAAAUUUAGAAAGAUGAGACUUCAAUUUGAAGAAAUUUUGAGAGGAAGAGAGGGAUCGUGAGAGGGUGACUUGAGAUUUGAAGGAGGUGAUCUGAGAUACUACAUUUUACGAAAAGUGGUUUCGUUUAUCAAUCAUGAGUUUCAUAACACUGUGGCAGGGUUGCAAUGCAUCUCUCUUAUAAUUUUUGUAAUGCCAAUAUUUUUUUCCAGUAAAUUUUUACUUUGUUGUCGAUGGCUUUGUUCUCAAAUUGAGAACCCAAAAUCUGCACUACUCACUAACUCAAGUUGUUUUGCAUAUUAUGUUGUGCAAUACUCUUGAUAUAUUCAAAGUUCAUCUAUUUUCAUAUCAUCCUCUCUACCUCUUUUGUUUUUUUAUCUAAAUCUUUUUAAAUCACAAUACUUUGGUUUUUGUUUGUUUAUAAUGUUUGAUCUACUUCUACUAUAUUUUAAACGUAUAGCUUUUGUCUUUUCUAUGAUCACUUGCGCUUGCAAGUUAUUAUCUUUCACCUUGGAGUGAGACUACAUUGAUUAGAAUUUAGAACCUACCAUUUUUUAUUUUCUAAAAUCAACAUUGCAUUGUAGUCUUGGAAAAGUGAAAAUAAUGAAUCUGAAGAAUGCUUUGCCUUUGAUAAGGUAAUAUAGGUUUCCAUUACCUCUGUUUCAGGCUUGAUUUAUAUAUAAACUGACGAUGUUUGAUUCGAAAACGAUGCUUCUACUCUUAAACUAAAAUGUUUUCCUUUUAAUUAGUCUGUUUUUUAAUGUUACUGGAGAUUUUAUUGUGUGAAUCGACUUAUAUUAGAGAUAUCCAAAUAUUAGUCCCUAAAAUUAAUCAUUGUAUUUUUUAUUUUGCACGGGCAUACGGUAAACUAAAUGACGAUCGUCUGUUGGCAGUUGACAUAGAAGUGAGGGUGUGAAAGGCACAAGUUAGUUGGAAAAAUUUGCAGUUGACAUAGAAGAGAGGGUGUGAAAGGCACAAGUUAGUUGGAAAAAUUUGCAUAGAAAGAAGCGCAGAAAGUUGGAAGCGGCUAGAGAGAUGUUGGAGGAUGACGAGCAAGAUGACAAACCAAAAGGUGAGGGGACAGAUAAGAAUGAAAAGGCUGGAUUGUCACAUGCUGAUCUUGCUUACCGACCUGCAAACGCAGGAAAGGCCACCACCAAGAUGGCACUAGACUCUGACAAGAUUUUGAAGAAGCCUCAAAAGAAAUCUAAUAAAUCUAAUCCUUUGCGAAAGCCUUCCUCUUCAAGGACAGAAGAAAUACGGGAGUUAUUCCAUACGAAGGAUAAAAAGCCAUAAUAGAGAGGUUCUGGAACAGGAAAGUAGGCGAAGAAGUCAUUCAAUAGCAAGUCACGAAAGACAAGACUUCAAUUUGAAGGAAUUUUAAGAGGAAGAGAGGGAUUGAAAGAGGGUGACUUGAGAUUUGAAAGAUGUUAUCUGAGAUACUACAUUUUACGAAAAGUGGUUUUGUUUAUCAAUCACAAGUUUCAUAACACUGGCAGGGUUGCAAAGCAGCUCUCUUGUAAUUUUUGUAAUGCCAAUAUUUUUUUUCAGUAAAUUUUCUCUUUGUUGUCUAUGGUUUUGUUCUCAAAUUGAGAACCCAAAAUUUACACUACUCACUAACUCAAGUUGUUUUGCAUAUUAUGUCGUGCAAUACUCUUGAUAUAUUCAAAGUUAAACUAUUUUCAUAUCA